rnacentral:lncRNA from 1 species
CCCAAAUCAGGUUCUCUCCAAAGUCUCAGCUUCCUCCCUUCUUCCUCUCACUUCCACCUCUCACCUCUGUUUUUAUUUGGAUCCAACUUGAGUUCUGGUUUUUGUGCAUGGCUGAUCCAGAACUUACUUUCUGUAGGGUUACAGUGACUGGGACUCAGCUGUCACUGCUCAUCCGGCAAGCCCAGAUGGGAUGAGACGUGGCCAAGAGUCUAGUUAGUUGAUUGUUUCAUCUGCUUGGUCUCUGACCUCCAGGAGUACCAUGUGAUCAUCUGUGACACAAAGAGUGGCCCUUUCAGAUGUGAGUGGUGAUGUGCACAGCUCUUGUCUAUCCUUCACCUGUAACUGACUCUUUAGGAGAGGAGCUUUGUCGUCGUUGUACAUCUGACUGCACAUGAUCAAGUGGCCACACCUUUGGGUCCUAUGAAAUGGAAGUUCCUUUUUGCUACAAUGGAGAAAGUGUUGAAGACACACUAGUGACUGUUGGGAGUCAUAGUCUACAAUCCUCUGAGCUUUGGGGUCUGCAUGAAUGCUAGCAUUUGAUGGGAAGUUUUCAAUUUCCUCUCUUUCCUCCCCCUCCCUCCCCCUCCCUCCCUCCCUUCUUCCCUCCCUCCCUCCUUUUGUCCCUCCCUUUCUCCCUGCUAUUUCUUUAAAUAGACUUUGUCUGCAGAUUUUUAAGAAAGACAGAUUACAAUGAGGCAUAACAUCAAACACCCCAGAGUUUAAGAAACAGAAAAACACAAGAAUCUGUGCUUUGGGCUCUGAUAUAGAAAUGAGGCAUGUUUUUCUCCCUAUUAAAAUGAUAAAUGGAUCCAGAUGGUUCAUAUCUGUAAUCCCAGCAUUCAGAAAACUGAGGCAGGAGGGGUGCCAAAAUUUAAUGGCUAGCCUGGACUACAUAGUAAGUUCCAGACCAGCCUAGGCUGAGAGAGAGACCAUAUAUAUGCUGAUGUAUGCAGUAACUUGAUUUGAAGGCAUUUGAGGCUUUAGGGGACAAGACAAGGCUGUCUUGUGCAUCUGUUUAUCUACUGGGUGGCAAGGGUUCCAGUUCCCACUGGAAUGGUUUUCUGUGCUACGUGACUUCGUCAUGCCCUUGAUUACUAACGAGCUAAGGUUCCAGGAAUUUCUGUCACCUACUUUAGUAGUCAUGAAAUAUGGUCUAAUUGGCAGGCAAGCCAUCGCUACGGUCGUGAGGACACAGAUCUUUCCUAAUCUGUCACUCAGCCAUCCUGAGGUCAGACCAGAAUUGAUAGGAAAAAAAAAAAUCAGGGUGCCUUUCACAUCUAAGAAUCUUUUGAUGUCCCAAAGUUACCAUAGGAAUUCACAAAUAUUUAUUUUGUAAUCUUAGAGGGAAAGAAAAUUUAGAAAGAAAUAGGUUCCCUUUGGGCUGACUUGAUGUAAGUUGCGAAUAACAAAAAGUGAUUUGUCAAAUAGAAAAGUGUUUGUGGGUAAAACAUCACCAAUGUUUCAGAAGAAAUAAACUUGAUAGAAGACAUUGGGAGAUCCCAGACAGUUUUCAAUACUUUCACUGGCCACAAUAUGCCUCUGCCCAAGACAGAAUAUCAAUUAGAUCCUUAGAAAACUAAUAUUGGAUCCCAACAGACAAUCUAACCCUCCUCUAUUUUGAUUUUAUUGUCAUAUUUUGCUUUUUAUUGUUGUGAUAUAAUAUCAUGACCAAGAGCAACUUGAGAAAAGAGAUUAUUUAGCUUACAGGUUACAGACCAUCAUCAGGGGAAGCCCUGAAGGUCAUCCAAGAGAAAUCUUGAUUUUGGAGGCCACAGUGAAGUGCUGUUACUGGCUUGCUCCUCAUGGCUUGGUCAUCCUUCUUUCUUAUAGAACCCAGGACCACCUGCCCAACGAUGGCACUCUCCACGAAGGGCUGGGCCCUCCCCCAUCAAUGAUUAAUCAAGAAAAUGCCCCAGACUUGCCUAGAGGCCAAUCUGAUGGAGGCAUUUUCAUAAUUAACUUUCUCUUCCCACAUGACUCUAGUGCAGUGGUUAUCAACCUUCCAAAUGCUGCGACCCUUUAGCAUAGUUUAGUUCCUCAGGUUGUGGUGACCCCCGACCAUAAAAUUAUUUUUGUUGCUACUUCAUAACUGUAGUUUUGCUAUGGUUAUGAAUCAUACUAUAAAUACCAAUAUGCAGGAUAUCAGGUAGGUGACACCCAAAGGGGUCUCCACCCACAGGUUGAAAACCCUCUGCUGUGUCAAAUUGAUAAAAAAAAAAAAAAAACAACCAGGACAGUUGUUUACUGUAAAUAAUGACUACACCCAUACACUGCCUUCUCUAGAUGUUUCUACCGUCCUCUGAGUUUUCAUGAAGGCCACCAGGCUUCAGAAAAGAAGAGAGACUUGAGUCCCUAGGAAAGGAUGACCCUGGGUACCAGUGAUGACCAAAGCUUCCCAUUCCCCUCCCUGGAGCAAGCUUCAGAGGGCAAGGCUGCCUUCAUUUAGACUGUGCCAGGGACGGGCCAGAGCGCCCAGGGUUCUUUAGUCUAGACAGACUAAAGAACAUUCCCAAUGCUGUAGCCCCUCAGUGCAGUUCCUCAUAUUCUGGUGUCCCCCAAUCAUCAACUUUAUUUCACUGCUACUUCAUUACUGUAAAUUCGAUACUGUUAGGAAUUGUAAUGUGAACAUCUGACAUGCAGGGUAUCUGAUGUGUGACCCCCAAAGGGGUCAUGACCCACAGAUUGAGAACUGCUGGUCUACAAACAGUUCCAUGGAAGUAGCUGCUCAUCCAUGGCUUAGCGGGGUAAAGGUCACUGUAGAGGACAGCUCGUGCACAGGAGAAAGCUAACUAUAGCUCUGUGUAUCCGUCAACAUUCUAUGUCAGGUGGUGUGUGAAGAAGUACAAUAUGACAUGGGGACCCAAAACUACAGGGCUUGUGACAACGGCACCUGAGAUACCAGCGCCCCAGAACCCAGGAGCUCAUGCUUUUGCCAAGACAGAUGCACCACUCCACCAUUUGCGGCUAUUUGCAAGGGUUUGGUGGAAAUUUCAUUCCCUUUGUUCUGAGAUUGACUUCCACAAGUCACCUGGGUAGCUAAGGUCCAAUCUGGACUGUCAUGAGGACUGGACGCCUUUAAGCUAUGAGAAGCUCUUCUUGGAAGAGCCGUGGUUUACACAUGAGCUCAGUGUUUGCAGGGACCAGAAGCCCAUAUAACCUGGGGCAUCCUCUACUAGUGAAGCCCCUGUCAACAGGCAUCGCCUGUGACGUCAGGUGGAAACUCAUGGAUUUGACUUCUAGCCUCGGGAUUAGAUGAUCAAAUAAUGGAGUCUGUAAGGCCCAUCCUCAGAUGCCUUAAUGAAAUUUCCAGACAGGAGUCAAGUCUCUGGCCUUUGGAGUUUCUCAGACCCUUUGUUCAAGGGAAAUUUUACAGUGACUUAAAACCUCUUUUGAAAAGAAUCAGAGUAAUGUGGAGUGAGACCAGUCAUUUUCCAUGACUGGGAAUGAUCUGCUAGAAAACAAAAUCUUUUAAAACUUAGAUAUAAGGCUCAAAGAGGGCAUCUUGUUCCCCCAUGUUACAAGCAUCUGUGGGAACUCAUGAUCAGUGUUAGCUCCCCCACACGUGCAGUUAGACACGGAGUUACAUGCAACAUGUAGAGCUCUCUCUGGUUAAAAAUUAAUAAAUAAAGGCUAUAGCUUAUUGUUUUCAAGCUCUUCCAGUUUUCUAUCUACCAGUGAGUUUACUACAGAAUGCUCUUUGUGGACAACUGCAUAACUGCUGUUUUUUUUUUUGUUGUUUUUUUUUUCAAAAUAAAUUCUUAAG